AAGUCGUAACAAGGUUUCCGUAGGUGAACCUGCGGAAGGAUCAUUAAAAUAAUAAUGAAUGUCGGGGAGGGCGCUUCGGUGCAAUCCCCGUGUAUUCAACCAAAUCCGCUCGUGUAUUUGGAUCAAAAAAACAAACAAAAUCUUUAACGAUAAUAAUUUUAAACAAACUUUCAACAACGGAUCUCUUGGCUCUC
rnacentral:misc_RNA from 1 species